rnacentral:rRNA from 1 species
CCUACGGGUGGCUGCAGUGGGGAAUAUUGGACAAUGGGCGAAAGCCUGAUCCAGCCAUGCCGCGUGUGUGAAGAAGGCCUUCGGGUUGUAAAGCACUUUCAGUGGGGAAGAAAGCCUUGGGGCUAAUACCCUCGAGGAAGGACAUCACCCACAGAAGAAGCACCGGCUAACUCCGUGCCAGCAGCCGCGGUAAUACGGAGGGUGCGAGCGUUAAUCGGAAUUACUGGGCGUAAAGCGCGCGUAGGCGGUCUGAUAAGCCGGUUGUGAAAGCCCCGGGCUCAACCUGGGAACGGCAUCCGGAACUGUCAGGCUAGAGUGCAGGAGAGGAAGGUAGAAUUCCCGGUGUAGCGGUGAAAUGCGUAGAGAUCGGGAGGAAUACCAGUGGCGAAGGCGGUCUUCUGGACUGACACUGACGCUGAGGUGCGAAAGCGUGGGUAGCAAACAGGACUAGAUACCCUAGUAGUC